GUAGGUGAACCUGCGGAAGGAUCAUUAACGAAUCUAAUCCGCCGAGGGGAAUGGAGGGGGGGUUGUCGCUGGCCUUUUGCGAGGCAUGUGCACGCUUUUCUUUCGGACCCUUCGUCGUCUUUCAAACUAACUUGUGCACCUAAUGUAGGAUGCCCUUUCUUUCGGGAGAGGGGGACCUAUGUAUUCAUACCAUCUUCGUGUAGAAAGUCUCAGAAUGUUUUUUACUACCGUCGAGUCGUGACUUCUAGGAGACGCGAAUCUUCGGGACAAAAGUUAUUACAACUUUCAGCAAUGGAUCUCUUGGCUCUC
rnacentral:misc_RNA from 1 species